rnacentral:rRNA from 1 species
UACGGAGGGUGCAAGCGUUGUCCGGAAUCACUGGGCGUAAAGGGCGCGUAGGCGGCUCAUGAAGGCUGUGGUGAAAGUCCGGGGCUAACCUCGGAUCGGCCGUGGCGACUCGUGGGCUGGAGCACUGUAGAGGCGGGUGGAAUUCCGGGUGUAGCGGUGGAAUGCGUAGAGAUCCGGAAGAACACCAGUGGCGAAGGCGGCCCGCUGGGCAGUGGCUGACGCUGAGGCGCGACAGCGUGGGGAGCAAACAGG